CAAUAUGAAACAGAUGAGAUUAAUAUGCUAAAACAAAAGAUUGAUCUUGCCACAGGAAGGCAAAAACCAAGUGUUAUUUAACAGUCAGCAACUUGAAAAGGAAAACCAGUCUCUGCGUCAGAAGGUCUUACCUAUGACAACCAUCCAGGAGAAAUGCAAAAUGCUUGAAGACCGAGAGGAGAAGCUCAAACAAGAACGCUUAAUCCUUGAAACUCACAUGGCAAAGAAUAUGAUAGAUUGUAGACAGGCAGAAAUGUUAAAGCAAGA
rnacentral:lncRNA from 1 species